rnacentral:lncRNA from 14 species
CGAGGAUGGGCGUACGGGCUUUCAUCGCGGAUCCAGUUGGUUGUGCUCUCUUAGGAAACGACGACCAGAUGACAAUGCGGACGACAACCAUCAUCCCCCUCAUUCCAAGAGGACAAGGAAGGACCAGACCGAACAGGAUCCUUGUGCUAUAGAGUCGACAAGCAGUGACAAUAGAAGGAACCAAACCAACAUCAAUAAUCCUAACCGUGAGAGAGUGCCAGAGAACAGCUUAAACCAGAGCACUGCUGAACUAGACUCCAAUAUCCCUGAGUUCUCCCAAGAGGAGGACUAUGAAGUGUGCCAAGACCAAGAUCCUUACUCGCAUAUUAACAACAUCUUGAAGGAGGCUCAUUUCUACAGCCUCCAGCAGAGAGGACACUCUCCGACAUGAAGGCCUAGGCAUCCUUCUUUUGUUUAUAAAAUCAAUGGCAUUCAUGCAAAUCGGUCUUGGCUUUUGUCUGUAUUUUUCAGUAAAAGGUCAAUGGGCAUUGUAUUGUUUUGCUGUUUUGCUCCACUACUACAAUCUCAAAGGGUCAUUCAUGACAGUUUGAUGCGUUUCCUGUCACGUCUGAUGUCUUAUUCGUGUUAAAAUAGCAGCAUGAGGACUUCUCCUGAGACUGAAUGG